GAUGCACAUAGACGACGACUUUGGUUGAGGGCUCUGAAUCGGGAUGGAUUUAUACCCAGUGAACAUUCUUGUGUAUGUUCUGAACACUUUGUUUAUGGUUGGCAAAGUGAUGAUCCCUCGGAUGAGAAUUAUGUUCCCACCAUAUUCUCAUAUAAGGAGAAGCCCGUUGAUGCUGAGAGGCAGAACCGAGCAAGCAGAAGGAACAUUGAAAAGGAUUUUAGAGAAGCAGAAAGCAAGCAGAAGGAGCAAGAGAAAAGGCAGUUGAGUUUUUCUGUAUUCACCCACUCUUCCUACACCAGGAGCAGGGAGGAGGAAGCACAGGAUAUAUAGAGAAAGGAGAGUUGGAACCAGAUGAUGUGGACAUUGGGGUCAAACUUACAAGAGAUGCGGGUACACAGUGUGAUCCAGAUCCACUACUACAAGAGAAUUUCGCCUUGAAGUCUGAGCUUAGGAGGUUGCAAGGUCAUAAGUGGUCUGUUAAGAAGAUAAAAGAUUAUGAUGCCAAGACAAAGUUUUAUACUGGACUGCCUAGCUUUGCUGUUUUUAUGUGGU